AAUGAAUGAGCUGAAUGAGCUAUCAGCCAUAAGCUCCCUUGCUGCACGUUUGUGAGCAAGUAAAAAUUUUCUUGCACCUUGCUUCAUGUUCUGUUCUCUUAUUUUGCUGCUGCCAUUGUUCCAACAUUCCUUGAUUUUUUUAGUAGAUAAAGCUUUUUCCUAAAUGCUCUGUACUGCCAGGCACGUGAAAAGUUCGUGUCUUUGAAGAAGAACACACCGGGAGAUGUUGUUGCUGUGCUAAAAGAGAUAGAGCCAAUCCCAAGUGAAAAUCUGCCUCCUGGUUUUGAUCCUGUUGAAGGUUGCAAGCUUAUCAGAAAGGAAAAUAGGAGACCUAGAUAUUUAAAGGUAAUUUUUAUUUUUUCCUCCUCCUUCUUCCGUUCUUCAUCUUCUUCUCCUUCUUCAUCCAGGUAACUUUCCUCCUUCUACUUCUUCCGUUCUUCACCUUUUAUUUCCAAUUUUCCUUAGCUUUGUCCGUCGCAUAUCUUCUCUUCUGAGGGCUGCUGUUUUGUUUCGCUCAAACCUAUGGCUGCUUUCACCUCUUUCUCUCUUUUUCGGUACUCUUUUAUCUGUUUAUAUUUUGUUAAUGUUAAUGACAGAUUGAUAAAGUAUUGAUUCUGGGUAUUUGAUUUGGACAGUAAUUAUGCAACGACUGGAAAGAUUGUUGCAAUUGUGAGAGCCUCACCACGACUCUCUUAUUCUCUCACCUCCAUCAAUUUUCUAACACCAAAUCACUUCUUUUCUUUUUAUUUGGUUGGGAAGUUCUCUUAUUUCGGCAUUCAAUUGAUGAUUACUAUUAUUCUUUUCGUUGUCAGUUGGCUGAUCAAUGAAAUGGGGGUAGAAAGAAGGUUUAAUUGGGUUCUAUUCGUGGUUUUUUUAGUAGUCUAGCCAGCCAGAGAAGUGAAGAAGAGCUAGAAAAAUUUCAGAUGUUGAAUUUUAUUGGCCUUUCUUGAUACCUUCGAAUCACUCUUUGUAGAUAUCUAUGUCGUGCUAGUCCUACACAUGAUGAAGAGGCUGCGAAAAAGGCAGCUGCAAUCAAUUCUGAUAGUGGAGCUCCAACCAUAUCAUAGCUAAGGAAAUUCCUUCAACCAUCGUGUAUGAAGAUGAUAAAGUCUUAGCAUUCAAAGACAUCAGUCCGCAGGCUCCUGUUCAUGUUUUGGUGAUUCCAAAGUUUAGGGAUGGGUUGACACAGCUUGGGAAGUAAGGGAGAAAGAGAUUGGACAAGAAGAAUUGGCAAUGAUCGUCAUUUAAUCUGCAUAGAGGAUCCUUCUGUGGUAUCUCAUGACCUUGGUCGAGUGGUGGACAAGUUCAGCAUUAAAGUUCUAAGAGAAGAGUUUGAACGAGCGGCUGAUGUAAUGCAGUAUGAUCCAAAUCCUUAGAUAACACUCUUUGAACCUUACGUCCCUGGGUAACAAAACCUUGUCCAAGUGUGUUAGAAAAUCAAUGGUUAAAAUUAUUUGGUUGGUUUUUGUAGUCGAUGUGCUUUGCGUCCCCCAUAAUCUUCAAUUUUGACCUUUUGAGUUCGCAUCCAUUUUAAAGAAGUUUAAGCUUAUUAUAUGUAAUCAAGAAAAGAAAUUUCCAAACAUUUUAUGGGUGAGUGUUAAACAAGUUGUAAUUAAUUGAUUGAUAGUGUAUACAAAUUCAUGUAUGAUCCAAACAUAUUUAUAUCAAAUGAAUAUAUAUAUAUUGAUGUA